AUAAUUCAUAAAGACGCUUUAUUUCUUAAUGAAUUGGGGGAGUGGCCUUGCCAUUGGGCGUAAUUACCCAAAUUGGCGAUCAGAAAGGUCUCUGUGGCGCAAUUGGUCAGCGCGUUCGGCUGUUAACUGAAAGGUUGGUGGUUCAAGCCCACCCAGGGACGUUUUGAGAUUGUAAAGAAAUACAGACUUAACAUAAUUUAUAAAGACACUUUAUUUCUUAAUGAAUUGGGGGAGUGGCCUUGCCAUUGGGCGUAAUUACCCAAAUCGGCUGUCAGAAAGGUCUCUGUGGCGCAAUUGGUCAGCGCGUUCGGCUGUUAACUGAAAGGUUGGUGGUUCAACCCCACCCAGGGACU
ensembl:lncRNA